rnacentral:rRNA from 1 species
CAGCACCUCAAGUGGUCAGGAUGAUUAUUAGGCCUAAAGCAUCCGUAGCCGGCGCUGUAAGUUUUCGGUUAAAUCUGUACGCUCAACGUACAGGCUGCCGGGAAUACUGCAGCGCUAGGGAGUGGGAGAGGUAGACGGUACUCGGUAGGAAGGGGUAAAAUCCUUUGAUCUAUUGAUGACCACCUGUGGCGAAGGCGGUCUACCAGAACACGUCCGACGGUGAGGGAUGAAAGCUGGGGGAGCAAACCGGAUUAGAUACCCGCGUAGUCC